UCUCCAGUAGCACCUUAGAGACCAACUAAGUUUGUUCUUGGUAUAAGCUUUUGUGUGCAUGCACGAAAUCUGAAGAAGUGUGCAUGCACACGAAAGCUUAUAGCAAGAACAAACUUAGUUGGUCUCUAAGGUGCUACUGGAGA